UGCAAUUUUUUUUAAACCUUUCUUUGGGCC
rnacentral:piRNA from 1 species